rnacentral:rRNA from 1 species
GACGAACGCUGGCGGCGUGCUUAACACAUGCAAGUCGAACGAAGUGGCGAACGGGUGAGUAACGCGUAAUCAACCUGCCCUUCAGAGGGGGACAACAGUUGGAAACGACUGCUAAUACCGCAUACUGAAGGAGGGGAUUGCGUCUGAUUCGCUAGUUUGCUGGGUAACGGCCCACCAAGGCGAUGAUCAGUAGCCGGUCGUGGAGGAGGACCGGCCACAUUGGGACGUGGACACGGCCCAGAAUCCUACGGGAAGCAGCCGGGGGGAAUGGUCCGAAAUGGACGUAAGUCUGACGGAGCAACGCCGCGUGGGUGAUGACCGCCCUCGGGUGUGAAAGCUCUGUUAAUCGGGACGCGGUACCGGAAUAGAAAGCCACGGCUAACUACGUGCCAGCAGCCGCGGUAAUAC